rnacentral:rRNA from 1 species
AACGAACGCUGGCGGCAGGCCUAACACAUGCAAGUCGAACGCCGUAGCAAUACGGAGUGGCAGACGGGUGAGUAACACGUGGGAACGUACCCUUCGGUUCGGGAUAACUCAGGGAAACUUGAGCUAAUACCGGAUACGUCCGAGAGGAGAAAGAUUUAUUGCCGAGGGAUCGGCCCGCGUCUGAUUAGCUUGUUGGUGAGGUAACGGCUCACCAAGGCGACGAUCAGUAGCUGGCUGAGAGGAUGAUCAGCCACAUUGGGACUGAGACACGGCCCAGACUCCUACGGGAGGCAGCAGUGGGGAAUUUUGGACAAUGGGGGCAACCCUGAUCCAGCCAUGCCGCGUGCGGGAAGAAGGCC